rnacentral:rRNA from 1 species
GAUGAACGCUGGCGGCGUGCCUAAUACAUGCAAGUCGAGCGAACGGACGAGAAGCUUGCUUCUCUGAUGUUAGCGGCGGACGGGUGAGUAACACGUGGAUAACCUACCUAUAAGACUGGGAUAACUUCGGGAAACCGUAGCUAAUACCGGAUAAUAUUUUGAACCGCAUGGUUCAAAAGUGAAAGACGGUCUUGCUGUCACUUAUAGAUGGAUCCGCGCUGCAUUAACUAGUUGGUAAGGUAACGGCUUACCAAGGCAACGAUGCAUAGCCGACCUGAGAGGGUGAUCGGCCACACUGGAACUGAGACACGGUCCAGACUCCUACGGGAGGCAGCAGUAGGGAAUCUUCCGCAAUGGGCGAAAGCCUGACGGAGCAACGCCGCGUGAGUGAUGAAGGUCUUCGGAUCGUAAAACUCUGUUAUUAGGGAAGAACAUAUGUGUAAGUAACUGUGCACAUCUUGACGGUACCUAAUCAGAAAGCCACGGCUAACUACGUGCCAGCAGCCGCGGUAAUACGUAGGUGGCAAGCGUUAUCCGGAAUUAUUGGGCGUAAAGCGCGCGUAGGCGGUUUUUUAAGUCUGAUGUGAAAGCCCACGGCUCAACCGUGGAGGGUCAUUGGAAACUGGAAAACUUGAGUGCAGAAGAGGAAAGUGGAAUUCCAUGUGUAGCGGUGAAAUGCGCAGAGAUAUGGAGGAACACCAGUGGCGAAGGCGACUUUCUGGUCUGUAACUGACGCUGAUGUGCGAAAGCGUGGGGAUCAAACAGGAUUAGAUACCCUGGUAGUCCACGCCGUAAACGAUGAGUGCUAAGUGUUAGGGGGUUUCCGCCCCUUAGUGCUGCAGCUAACGCAUUAAGCACUCCGCCUGGGGAGUACGACCGCAAGGUUGAAACUCAAAGGAAUUGACGGGGACCCGCACAAGCGGUGGAGCAUGUGGUUUAAUUCGAAGCAACGCGAAGAACCUUACCAAAUCUUGACAUCCUUUGACAACUCUAGAGAUAGAGCCUUCCCCUUCGGGGGACAAAGUGACAGGUGGUGCAUGGUUGUCGUCAGCUCGUGUCGUGAGAUGUUGGGUUAAGUCCCGCAACGAGCGCAACCCUUAAGCUUAGUUGCCAUCAUUAAGUUGGGCACUCUAAGUUGACUGCCGGUGACAAACCGGAGGAAGGUGGGGAUGACGUCAAAUCAUCAUGCCCCUUAUGAUUUGGGCUACACACGUGCUACAAUGGACAAUACAAAGGGCAGCGAAACCGCGAGGUCAAGCAAAUCCCAUAAAGUUGUUCUCAGUUCGGAUUGUAGUCUGCAACUCGACUACAUGAAGCUGGAAUCGCUAGUAAUCGUAGAUCAGCAUGCUACGGUGAAUACGUUCCCGGGUCU